rnacentral:rRNA from 1 species
GGGUUGUGAGGUUAAGCGACUAAGCGUACACGGUGGAUGCCCUGGCAGUCAGAGGCGAUGAAGGACGUGCUAAUCUGCGAUAAGCGUCGGUAAGGUGAUAUGAACCGUUAUAACCGGCGAUUUCCGAAUGGGGAAACCCAGUGUGUUUCGACACACUAUCAUUAACUGAAUCCAUAGGUUAAUGAGGCGAACCGGGGGAACUGAAACAUCUAAGUACCCCGAGGAAAAGAAAUCAACCGAGAUUCCCCCAGUAGCGGCGAGCGAACGGGGAGCAGCCCAGAGCCUGAAUCAGUGUGUGUGUUAGUGGAAGCGUCUGGAAAGGCGCGCGAUACAGGGUGACAGCCCCGUACACAAAAAUGCACAUGCUGUGAGCUCGAUGAGUAGGGCGGGACACGUGGUAUCCUGUCUGAAUAUGGGGGGACCAUCCUCCAAGGCUAAAUACUCCUGACUGACCGAUAGUGAACCAGUACCGUGAGGGAAAGGCGAAAAGAACCCCGGCGAGGGGAGUGAAAAAGAACCUGAAACCGUGUACGUACAAGCAGUGGGAGCACGCUUAGGCGUGUGACUGCGUACCUUUUGUAUAAUGGGUCAGCGACUUAUAUUCUGUAGCAAGGUUAACCGAAUAGGGGAGCCGAAGGGAAACCGAGUCUUAACUGGGCGUUAAGUUGCAGGGUAUAGACCCGAAACCCGGUGAUCUAGCCAUGGGCAGGUUGAAGGUUGGGUAACACUAACUGGAGGACCGAACCGACUAAUGUUGAAAAAUUAGCGGAUGACUUGUGGCUGGGGGUGAAAGGCCAAUCAAACCGGGAGAUAGCUGGUUCUCCCCGAAAGCUAUUUAGGUAGCGCCUCGUGAAUUCAUCUCCGGGGGUAGAGCACUGUUUCGGCAAGGGGGUCAUCCCGACUUACCAACCCGAUGCAAACUGCGAAUACCGGAGAAUGUUAUCACGGGAGACACACGGCGGGUGCUAACGUCCGUCGUGAAGAGGGAAACAACCCAGACCGCCAGCUAAGGUCCCAAAGUCAUGGUUAAGUGGGAAACGAUGUGGGAAGGCCCAGACAGCCAGGAUGUUGGCUUAGAAGCAGCCAUCAUUUAAAGAAAGCGUAAUAGCUCACUGGUCGAGUCGGCCUGCGCGGAAGAUGUAACGGGGCUAAACCAUGCACCGAAGCUGCGGCAGCGACGCUUAUGCGUUGUUGGGUAGGGGAGCGUUCUGUAAGCCUGUGAAGGUGUGCUGUGAGGCAUGCUGGAGGUAUCAGAAGUGCGAAUGCUGACAUAAGUAACGAUAAAGCGGGUGAAAAGCCCGCUCGCCGGAAGACCAAGGGUUCCUGUCCAACGUUAAUCGGGGCAGGGUGAGUCGACCCCUAAGGCGAGGCCGAAAGGCGUAGUCGAUGGGAAACAGGUUAAUAUUCCUGUACUUGGUGUUACUGCGAAGGGGGGACGGAGAAGGCUAUGUUGGCCGGGCGACGGUUGUCCCGGUUUAAGCGUGUAGGCUGGUUUUCCAGGCAAAUCCGGAAAAUCAAGGCUGAGGCGUGAUGACGAGGCACUACGGUGCUGAAGCAACAAAUGCCCUGCUUCCAGGAAAAGCCUCUAAGCAUCAGGUAACAUCAAAUCGUACCCCAAACCGACACAGGUGGUCAGGUAGAGAAUACCAAGGCGCUUGAGAGAACUCGGGUGAAGGAACUAGGCAAAAUGGUGCCGUAACUUCGGGAGAAGGCACGCUGAUAUGUAGGUGAAGUCCCUCGCGGAUGGAGCUGAAAUCAGUCGAAGAUACCAGCUGGCUGCAACUGUUUAUUAAAAACACAGCACUGUGCAAACACGAAAGUGGACGUAUACGGUGUGACGCCUGCCCGGUGCCGGAAGGUUAAUUGAUGGGGUUAGCGCAAGCGAAGCUCUUGAUCGAAGCCCCGGUAAACGGCGGCCGUAACUAUAACGGUCCUAAGGUAGCGAAAUUCCUUGUCGGGUAAGUUCCGACCUGCACGAAUGGCGUAAUGAUGGCCAGGCUGUCUCCACCCGAGACUCAGUGAAAUUGAACUCGCUGUGAAGAUGCAGUGUACCCGCGGCAAGACGGAAAGACCCCGUGAACCUUUACUAUAGCUUGACACUGAACAUUGAGCCUUGAUGUGUAGGAUAGGUGGGAGGCUUUGAAGUGUGGACGCCAGUCUGCAUGGAGCCGACCUUGAAAUACCACCCUUUAAUGUUUGAUGUUCUAACGUUGACCCGUAAUCCGGGUUGCGGACAGUGUCUGGUGGGUAGUUUGACUGGGGCGGUCUCCUCCUAAAGAGUAACGGAGGAGCACGAAGGUUGGCUAAUCCUGGUCGGACAUCAGGAGGUUAGUGCAAUGGCAUAAGCCAGCUUGACUGCGAGCGUGACGGCGCGAGCAGGUGCGAAAGCAGGUCAUAGUGAUCCGGUGGUUCUGAAUGGAAGGGCCAUCGCUCAACGGAUAAAAGGUACUCCGGGGAUAACAGGCUGAUACCGCCCAAGAGUUCAUAUCGACGGCGGUGUUUGGCACCUCGAUGUCGGCUCAUCACAUCCUGGGGCUGAAGUAGGUCCCAAGGGUAUGGCUGUUCGCCAUUUAAAGUGGUACGCGAGCUGGGUUUAGAACGUCGUGAGACAGUUCGGUCCCUAUCUGCCGUGGGCGCUGGAGAACUGAGGGGGGCUGCUCCUAGUACGAGAGGACCGGAGUGGACGCAUCACUGGUGUUCGGGUUGUCAUGCCAAUGGCACUGCCCGGUAGCUAAAUGCGGAAGAGAUAAGUGCUGAAAGCAUCUAAGCACGAAACUUGCCCCGAGAUGAGUUCUCCCUGACUCCUUGAGAGUCCUGAAGGAACGUUGAAGACGACGACGUUGAUAGGCCGGGUGUGUAAGCGCAGCGAUGCGUUGAGCUAACCGGUACUAAUGAACCGUGAGGCUUAACCUUACAACGCCGAAGGUGUUU